GAAGGUAGAGCUCAGUGGUAGAGCACAUGCUUAGCAUGCACGAGGUCCUGGGUUCAAUCCCCUAUCCCUCCA
rnacentral:tRNA from 1 species